UACGUAGGGUGCGAGCGUUGUCCGGAUUUAUUGGCGUAAAGAGCUCGUAGGCGGUUUGGUAAGUCUGGUGUGAAAUCUACCACCGCUCAACGUGGGAGGGGCCACCCGAUACUGCCAUGACUGGAGUCCGGUAGAGGGAGUGUGGAAUUCCCGGUGUAGCGGUAGAAAUGCGACAGAAUAUCGGGAGGAACACCCGUAGCCGAAGGCGGCACU
rnacentral:rRNA from 1 species